AUUGAACGCUGGCGGCAGGCCUAACACAUGCAAGUCGAGCGAGCGGCGGACGGGUGAGUAAUGUAUGGGGACUGCCCGAUAGAGGGGGAUAACUACUGGAAACGGUGGCUAAUACCGCAUACUAUCGGAUAACCCAUAUGGGAUUAGCUAGUAGGGGGGGUAAAGGCUCACCUAGGCGACGAUCUCUAGCUGGUCUGAGAGGAUGAUUAGCCACAAUGGGACUUAGAAACGGGCCAGAAUCCUACGGAGGCAGGAGUGGGGAAUAUUGGACAAUGGGCGCAAGCCUUAUUCAGCCAUGCCGCGGGGAUGAAGAAGGGCGUUGGGGUGUAAAGUACUGUCAGCGGGGAGGCGUUACCCGCAGAAGAAGCACCGGCUAACUCCGUUCCAGCAGCCGCGGUAAUAC
rnacentral:rRNA from 1 species